UACGUAGGCAGCAAGCGUUGUUCGGAGUUACUGGGCGUAAAGAGUGUGUAGGCGGUGCUCUAAGUUCGGUGUGAAAUCUCCCGGCUCAACUGGGAGGGUGCGCCGAAAACUGGAGUGCUGGAGCGCGGGAGAGGAAAGCGGAAUUCCUGGUGUAGCGGUGAAAUGCGCAGAUAUCAGGAGGAACACCGGUGGCGAAGGCGGGUCUCUGGGCCGAUACUGACGCUGAGGAGCGAAAGCGUGGGGAGCGAACAGG
rnacentral:rRNA from 1 species